rnacentral:rRNA from 1 species
UACGUAGGGUGCAAGCGUUAAUCGGAAUUACUGGGCGUAAAGCGUGCGCAGGCGGUUGUGCAAGACCGAUGUGAAAUCCCCGGGCUCAACCUGGGAAUGGCAUUGGUGACUGCACGGCUAGAGUGUGUCAGAGGGGGGUAGAAUUCCACGUGUAGCAGUGAAAUGCGUAGAUAUGCGGAGGAACACCGAUGGCGAAGGCAAUCCCCUGGACCUGUACUGACGCUCAUGCACGAAAGGCGUGGGGAGCAAACAGG